rnacentral:rRNA from 1 species
GAGUUUGAUCAUGGCUCAGAUUGAACGCUGGCGGCAGGCCUAACACAUGCAAGUCGAACGGUAACAGGAAUCAGCUUGCUGAUUCGCUGACGAGUGGCGGACGGGUGAGUAAUGUCUGGGAAACUGCCUGAUGGAGGGGGAUAACUACUGGAAACGGUAGCUAAUACCGCAUAAUGUCGCAAGACCAAAGAGGGGGACCUUCGGGCCUCUUGCCAUCGGAUGUGCCCAGAUGGGAUUAGCUUGUUGGUGGGGUAACGGCUCACCAAGGCGACGAUCCCUAGCUGGUCUGAGAGGAUGACCAGCCACACUGGAACUGAGACACGGUCCAGACUCCUACGGGAGGCAGCAGUGGGGAAUAUUGCACAAUGGGCGCAAGCCUGAUGCAGCCAUGCCGCGUGUAUGAAGAAGGCCUUCGGGUUGUAAAGUACUUUCAGCGGGGAGGAAGGGAGUAAAGUUAAUACCUUUGCUCAUUGACGUUACCCGCAGAAGAAGCACCGGCUAACUCCGUGCCAGCAGCCGCGGUAAUACGGAGGGUGCAAGCGUUAAUCGGAAUUACUGGGCGUAAAGCGCACGCAGGCGGUUUGUUAAGUCAGAUGUGAAAUCCCCGGGCUCAACCUGGGAACUGCAUCUGAUACUGGCAAGCUUGAGUCUCGUAGAGGGGGGUAGAAUUCCAGGUGUAGCGGUGAAAUGCGUAGAGAUCUGGAGGAAUACCGGUGGCGAAGGCGGCCCCCUGGACGAAGACUGACGCUCAGGUGCGAAAGCGUGGGGAGCAAACAGGAUUAGAUACCCUGGUAGUCCACGCCGUAAACGAUGUCGACUUGGAGGUUGUGCCCUUGAGGCGUGGCUUCCGGAGCUAACGCGUUAAGUCGACCGCCUGGGGAGUACGGCCGCAAGGUUAAAACUCAAAUGAAUUGACGGGGGCCCGCACAAGCGGUGGAGCAUGUGGUUUAAUUCGAUGCAACGCGAAGAACCUUACCUGGUCUUGACAUCCACGGAAGUUUUCAGAGAUGAGAAUGUGCCUUCGGGAACCGUGAGACAGGUGCUGCAUGGCUGUCGUCAGCUCGUGUUGUGAAAUGUUGGGUUAAGUCCCGCAACGAGCGCAACCCUUAUCCUUUGUUGCCAGCGGUCCGGCCGGGAACUCAAAGGAGACUGCCAGUGAUAAACUGGAGGAAGGUGGGGACGACGUCAAGUCAUCAUGGCCCUUACGACCAGGGCUACACACGUGCUACAAUGGCGCAUACAAAGAGAAGCGACCUCGCGAGAGCAAGCGGACCUCAUAAAGUGCGUCGUAGUCCGGAUUGGAGUCUGCAACUCGACUCCAUGAAGUCGGAAUCGCUAGUAAUCGUGGAUCAGAAUGCCACGGUGAAUACGUUCCCGGGCCUUGUACACACCGCCCGUCACACCAUGGGAGUGGGUUGCAAAAGAAGUAGGUAGCUUAACCUUCGGGAGGGCGCUUACCACUUUGUGAUUCAUGACUGGGGUGAAGUCGUAACAAGGUAACCGUAGGGGAACCUGCGGUUGGAUCACC